rnacentral:rRNA from 1 species
UACAGAGGAUGCAAGCGUUAUCCGGAAUGAUUGGGCGUAAAGCGUCUGUAGGUGGCUUUUUAAGUCCGCCGUCAAAUCCCAGGGCUCAACUCUGGACAGGCGGUGGAAACUACCAAGCUGGAGUACGGUAGGGGCAGAGGGAAUUUCCGGUGGAGCGGUGAAAUGCGUAGAGAUCGGGAGGAACACCAGUGGCGAAGGCGGCUCACUGGACUGGUAUUGACGCUGAGGUGCGAAAGCGUGGGGAGCAAACAGG